UAAUACGGGGGAUGCGAGCGUUGUCCGGAUUCACUGGGCGUAAAGGGCGCGUAGGCGGCCCGGUCAGUCGGCGCUCUAAGUGCGGGGCUCAACCCCGUGAUGGCGCCGGGACGGCCGGGCUGGGGCGCGGCAGAGGGAGACGGAAUGCCGGGUGUAGUGGUGAAAUGCGUAGAGAUCCGGCGGAACACCGGUGGCGAAGGCGGUCUCCUGGGCCGAGGGCCGACGCUGAGGCGCGAGAGCGUGGGGAGCGAACCGGAUUAGAUACCCGGGUAGUCCACGCCGUAAACGGUGGAUGCUAGCCGUUGGUGGGUUUACCCUUCAGUGGCGCAGCUAACGCAUUAAGCAUCCCGCCUGGGGAGUACGGUCGCAAGAUUA
rnacentral:rRNA from 1 species